rnacentral:lncRNA from 1 species
UUGACAUAGGUGAAGGAACAUCAAAGGGAAAGGAGAUAGCUAGAGAUUAGAAGAGGAAAAGAAAAGAAGAAUUCAAGAAAGGUUUGGUGUUUUAAUGAUUUUCUGUUUUCCUUUGAUUCUGCCAUGAAUAAGUGAAAUUAGGGGUUGAUUUUACUUGCUGGAAAUGUUGCUUUGAUUGUAUAAAUAUGUUAUAUGAAUGUUAAAAUGAUGUUUGAAAGGUUUAGAGUAAAGAAAUUUAACAUGGGAGCUAAAAGUGUAAAUCUGGCAGAAUAGGUUGUAACAGGACAGCUUGUAGUACUAACUUCAUAACUUAUUGUGUCUCUAUUGAAAUUAGGCCUAAGAUAUACCAAAUGAAAGCUAAGACAAAUAUCUAAAAUUUUCAUGAAUUGACCAAAUUCGGAAUCUAUAGGUAAGAUGAUGAAAAUGGCAAGUGAACUUAAACUGGAUACAGUGGUAGUACAUCCGGAACAGAGUUUAUUGAGUAUACCAUAACUAAUUAUGUACUCAGUGAAAUUUGUUAAUACCAGUGCCAAAUGAAUCUUAAGAAGUAUACCUAAAACUUUUUAGAAGACACUUAAGCUUGAAUUUGUAUGGAAAUGCAUGAAUCUGAUAAGUUUUGUGAUACUAUAAACAAGUACCAAUACUGGACUGAUUAAGACCUUAUUGAGCAGCUUGUAAAGAAAAAUUCAUAACUUAAGCUAGGAUGAUCAGAUUUUUAUGAACCAUACCUUGUUGGAAAUAUAAGACAUAAAUGUACAUUUCUUAUGAAGAAACUGAAGUCAAAUUGUAACUCUAAUCUGCUUGAAAAGUUUAUGCAAUAUAUGGCAGAAUGUAGUUUUCUAUAUUGAAAUGCUAAGUCAAUAAAGUUUUGCACUAUUUGCCAUGAGUUUUCCAUAUUGUAAACCUUGGCAU